rnacentral:tRNA from 1 species
GUCCCCGUAGCUCAGCUGGAUAGAGCAGCCGCCUCCUAAGCGGCAGGUCGGAGGUUCAAAUCCUCUCGGGGACGCCA